CAAUGGCGACACCCACCGCCUCCAUUGAGACAGACAUCUAUCACAAAACAACAGGGAAGAUGAUGCAUGGACUCAUGAUACACAAGUUAUUCCUUUCCAGAACAGUAAUCCCUCCUCCAAGAUGCAGUUAAGUUCCUCCUAUUUUUAUCCAGCUAAAAACUGGCUAUUUACACUGAGAGGGCUCAAACUCUUUGUCUGAGUGUGUGCACUGCCAAAGACUCAUCUGCACAGUCUCUAGAGGUUAGACAAAUGAUGCAGAUUUCUUAAAACUCACUGAUGAUUGGAAGUUUCAUCAUGGAGAACAACUUCAAUCAAGAAGCUGAGGAAAAUCCUCAUCUGUGUUUCCAGAGAACACCAUCUCUUAGACGCAAAUGGAGAAAACGUUAUGGAGGCCUUGAUGGUAACAAACUACUGGAGCCAAACAAGGAGGAGGACACCAGAGAGAAUGGAGAGAUGACAGAUGCUCUUCCAAAGAAGAAUGCCAACCCUGUGAAGUUUACUGCAACUCUGGAAACAAAAGCCCCAGGGAACAUUCCACAAUCAGUGCCACGAAAUACCUUUCCAUCCCAGAGGCCAGUCAAUUACAUUCUUCCAGGCUCCACAGGCUUGUCAUCUUUAAUAAGCAAUGGAAGCACAAAGAGAGCAGUACCAGAGCAGGACAAAAUUCAUCAAGCCAGCCAACCAUGGCAAAACUUGGCCCAACAAGAGGCCCAACAAGGUCAUUUUAAGAAAAAAGUGGCUGCAGAUGUGCUCUUUGAUAGUUUUGCCUCAGGGGGAAGAGUCAACACCAAUCAGUUUUUUGAGGCUUUGUGGAGCUCAGGAAUCAUUCGAACAGAUCCACGUAUUAAAGACUGCUACAGCCUGAUGCGAAAACUGCAGGAAGCAGAUGGGACAGUUGACAGAAGCACCUUUCACAGAUGUGUGACUGGGUUUGUGUCUUUCAUCUUGAAGGCAUUACAGGGAAGAUUUGUCAUUCCAGAUUUCUCAACUUUCGCAGAGGAAACUCAAAAGCAGUUUAUUAAAUGUAAACAGCUGUCUUCUGUAAAGGAGAAAGAUCAUGUAAAAGAAAGCAGCACACAUUGGGGGAUUUCAAUCUGUACAGUGGAUGGACAGAGACUUUCUUUAGGAGACUGGGCAGAACCUUGCAUUCUUGGAGAGAUAUCUUGGCCUCUCAUAUACGGUCUUGCAGUGGACCAUCAAGGUGUUGACUAUGUACACAGAUUUGUGGGAAUGGAGGAAUACUCCAAAUAUGAGUCACCUUUUACCCUAACCAAGCAAGGUGUACCACACAGUCCACUGGUUGAGACAGGAGCCAUAAUCAGCAGCUCGCUAUUACAGCUGGCAACCAGACCAGUCAUGGAGGAAGAAGAAAAGUAUGAGUCUGUUUUGAAUAUCAUCAGAAGACUGUGUAACAAAGAACACGCAAACUUAAACUGCACAAACUAUCAAAACUUGAGAAAGGACAUUAUUCGACUGCACGCCCUUUCGUUUUACCUGCAAGAGAAGAAAUGCUUUCCAGAAGGUGUGGGGAUCAAUGCCACGUUGGAUUUACUCUUACAGUGUUUAUCGACAGAAGUCACUUGCGAGUCUGGAGCAGCAUUGGCGGCGACUCUAGCUAAUGGGGGUCUGUGCCCUCUGUCAGGUGAUCAAGUACUGUCUCCUCACGCCACCCGCAGCACCCUUUCCAUGAUGCAAGUGGCCGGUAUGAAUGAUUAUUCAAGGACUUUCCAUUUCAGGACAUCUGUACCUGCCAAGUCCAGCCGGUAUGGUGGGGUGCUGAUAGUGGUACCUGGAGUUCUGGGACUCAUGUGCUGGUCACCUGGACUAGAUUCCAAUGGGAAUUCCUUGAGGGGUGUCCAUUUCUGUGAGGACCUGGUUUCAACCUUCCAGCUGCACAGUUUUGACAUUAGGACUCCUUUCAGACAGGUGCUGUCCUACAGACAGUGGAAAGUGGAGUCAGAGGGAUACCAAAUCAUGAAUGUCCUCUUGGCUGCUUAUAGAGGGGACAUGGUGUCUUUGCGCAGGUGGACAAUCCCUUUAAAACAAGGAGUUACGAAGAGUUAUUCCACUUUCCUAGAUACCUUCUGGCAGGAGCAGAUGUGAAUGCUGUGGAUUAUGAUGGACGAUCAGCAUUGCAUGUCGCAGCCUCAGAGGGACGUCUGGACGUCAUCAUGUUCCUGGUGGAGAAUGCAAACGCGAACUGCACACUCAAGGACAGGUGGGGUAACACAGCUUUACAGGAGGCCAUGAGAUGCAAUCAAGACCCUGCCAUCCAAAUUCUGAGAAAGUUCACAGAUUAUGAAGAUAGUUUAUGAUCAAAUAUUAAAAAUACAUUGGAUGGGAUAGUUGACCCCAAAAUAAAAACAUGCUAUUUUAAACCAGUGUUACUUUCUUUCUUCUUUGGAACAAAAAAUGGACAAUGUCAAUUUGACAAUUUACUUUCAUUGCAUCUUUUUCCAAUACAAUGAAAGUGAAUGGUGACUAAGGCUAACAUUCUGCCUAACAUCUCCUUUUGUGUUCUACAGAAGAAAAAGGCAAUAUGGGUUUGGAACUACAUGAGUGAGUAAAUAAUGACAGUAUUUUUAUUUUUUGGUGAACUAUCCCUCUGAUACUUUCAAGGUUCACAUAGAACUAAAUUUUAUUCAGAAUGAAGAGGAUACUUCUCUACUUGGGUAGCCUGUAUUGCUGGCAGCACACCCAGUCAACCUCUCACUCAUUAGAAAUGAUUAAAAGAGAAAGAAUUUUUUUUUUUUCUUCAAUAAAUGCUUGAAUAGAAAGUUCAAGUUUACUGUAU